rnacentral:rRNA from 1 species
UGAGUAAUGCUUAGGAAUCUGCCUAUUAGUGGGGGACAACAUCUCGAAAGGGAUGCUAAUACCGCAUACGUCCUACGGGAGAAAGCAGGGGAUCUUCGGACCUUGCGCUAAUAGAUGAGCCUAAGUCGGAUUAGCUAGUUGGUGGGGUAAAGGCCUACCAAGGCGACGAUCUGUAGCGGGUCUGAGAGGAUGAUCCGCCACACUGGGACUGAGACACGGCCCAGACUCCUACGGGAGGCAGCAGUGGGGAAUAUUGGACAAUGGGGGGAACCCUGAUCCAGCCAUGCCGCGUGUGUGAAGAAGGCCUUAUGGUUGUAAAGCACUUUAAGCGAGGAGGAGGCUACUUUAGUUAAUACCUAGAGAUAGUGGACGUUACUCGCAGAAUAAGCACCGGCUAACUCUGUGCCAGCAGCCGCGGUAAUACAGAGGGUGCGAGCGUUAAUCGGAUUUACUGGGCGUAAAGCGUGCGUAGGCGGCUUAUUAAGUCGGAUGUGAAAUCCCCGAGCUUAACUUGGGAAUUGCAUUCGAUACUGGUGAGCUAGAGUAUGGGAGAGGAUGGUAGAAUUCCAGGUGUAGCGGUGAAAUGCGUAGAGAUCUGGAGGAAUACCGAUGGCGAAGGCAGCCAUCUGGCCUAAUACUGACGCUGAGGUACGAAAGCAUGGGGAGCAAACAGGAUUAGAUACCCUGGUAGUCCAUGCCGUAAACGAUGUCUACUAGCCGUUGGGGCCUUUGAGGCUUUAGUGGCGCAGCUAACGCGAUAAGUAGACCGCCUGGGGAGUACGGUCGCAAGACUAAAACUCAAAUGAAUUGACGGGGGCCCGCACAAGCGGUGGAGCAUGUGGUUUAAUUCGAUGCAACGCGAAGA